AGUGAACGCUGGCGGUAGGCCUAACACAUGCAAGUCGAACGGCAGCACAGUAAGAGCUUGCUCUUACGGGUGGCGAGUGGCGGACGGGUAAGGAAUACAUCGGAAUCUACUUUUUCGUGGGGGGUAACGUAGGGAAACUUACGCUAAUACCGCAUACGACCUACGGGUGAAAGCAGGGGAUCUUCGGACCUUGCGCGAUUGAAUGAGCCGAUGUCGGAUUAGCUAGUUGGCGGGGUAAAGGCCCACCAAGGCGACGAUCCGUAGCUGGUCUGAGAGGAUGAUCAGCCACACUGGAACUGAGACACGGUCCAGACUCCUACGGGAGGCAGCAGUGGGGAAUAUUGGACAAUGGGCGCAAGCCUGAUCCAGCCAUACCGCGUGGGUGAAGAAGGCCUUCGGGUUGUAAAGCCCUUUUGUUGGGAAAGAAAAGCAGCAGGUUAAUACCCCGCUGUUCUGACGGUACCCAAAGAAUAAGCACCGGCUAACUUCGUG
rnacentral:rRNA from 1 species